GACGAACGCUGGCGGCGUGCCUAAUACAUGCAAGUUGAGCGCUGAAGGUUGGUACUUGUACCAACUGGAUGAGCAGCGAACGGGUGAGUACCGCGUGGGGAAUCUGCCUUUGAGCGGGGGACAACAUUUGGAAACGAAUGCUAAUACCGCAUAAAAACUUUAAACACAAGUUUUAAGUUUGAAAGAUGCAAUUGCAUCACUCAAAGAUGAUCCCGCGUUGUAUUAGCUAGUUGGUGAGGUAAAGGCUCACCAAGGCGAUGAUACAUAGCCGACCUGAGAGGGUGAUCGGCCACAUUGGGACUGAGACACGGCCCAAACUCCUACGGGAGGCAGCAGUAGGGAAUCUUCGGCAAUGGACGAAAGUCUGACCGAGCAACGCCGCGUGAGUGAAGAAGGUUUUCGGAUCGUAAAACUCUGUUGGUAGAGAAGAACGUUGGUGAGAGUGGAAAGCUCAUCAAGUGACGGUAACUACCCAGAAAGGGACGGCUAACUACGUA
rnacentral:rRNA from 1 species